ACGGAUGUCCCGUUCUUUAAUUUCAGGUGUUGCAAUCCUGACCGUCUGGAAUAUCCGCUUUUGAAGGAAUUCACAGAUUUCUAUUUGCAUUCGAAUUCGGACAAUGGAUAUUUUCAGCAGAUUGAAAGUAACACCACAAAGCUAGUAAUGACCAAAGCUUUUUUUCAAUGAAUAAUGGAAAUUGCCAGAUUUGUCAUAUUUAUGGAAAAUUUAAGCUGUAUUUGUUUAAAAGGAGAUUGCUUUAUUAAGUUGUUGUAGUGUUUAUGAUUUACUGUGUUUCGUUUUCUUAUGAAAACUUCUGCCAUCAAUCUAGACAACAUAUUAGGCUGGGAACAAAUUUUUGUAAAUGGACUUGCCAAAUCGAAAGGAAUCAUUAUAUCGAAAAUAGUUUGAAACAUAAUUUACAACAUUUGAUAUUAGAAACAUUUAAUGGAAGCAGAAAAAUUUCGUCGGUUUUUGAUGGAGAUUUGUCGCCAGUUUCCAAUUUUGAAAAAGAGGACAUUCCAACUGUUCCAAGAAAUCAGACUCAGCGAUCAUUAGUAUCAAAUUGGACUAUAGCAUACAAUAAACUGACAGAAAUAGCUCUUUAUCGACAGUUUGGAACAACCUAUUAUGCUGAUCACAAUGAUUUAUACGUGAACUGGGAUGAUGAUAAGGCGAAGACAUUGUUGUGUAUAAUGAAACAUCAAGCAAGUAAUUCUGGACACAGUAUACCUAACUAUACUUGUAAUAAAAGACUUACAUUGUCAAGGCAUCCAACAAACAGAGCAGAAUUUGCAAAAUGGAUGUAUGUCAUAUUGGAAGAUAACAAGAAAGAGUUUUGUGAAAUUCAUAAACUAGUUCUGCCUCAAGAUAGUCAUAUGAUUCGUCGAUGCUAGUCAAGAAUUUUAUUUUAAUUCCGAUCUCAUUUCAAAUUAAACUUUCUUUAAUUGAAUACGCAAAACCACUAACCUGUAGGAAAGGAGGGAUAUGUAUGUUAAUACCUUUUGGGAAAGGAAGUGGUUCCAGACUUUAUUUUCGCAUUAUUUUGCAUGAUUUUCAAUAAUCUGUAAAUCGACUCUAAAAUUCUUUAACAUUUGGGAUGAAAAACAAGAAAAAUAUUGAUUAUUUAGGUUUUCUUGUAUUGUACAUGGUAGUAAUGCCGCUUUUUGUCUUGUCUGUCAUCCUGUCUGACCAUCAUAAAGAUAUUAAGGCAUAUAACAGAUUGAAAUAUGACAAAAUUAAUGCAUGCGUAUUUCUGAGCCUUCUAUUUGUCUGCACCCACCUUUUAAUGUCAAUCCCACAACUCUUUCUUCAUAUGGAAAGAAUUGCUUUAUGUAAAUUUAUAAUUUUAAAGCAAAUAUAAUUUUGAGUGUUAAAGUUAUUUUGAUUUCAAUGAAAAUUAGGAACCUUUUGUUUGGGGAAAGGAGGAUACGCAUGUUUUUUUGUUUAA